rnacentral:rRNA from 1 species
UAUUGGGUGUGUUGGGGAACCAGGACUUUUACCUUGAAAAAAUUAGAGUGUUCAAAGCAGGCCUUUGCUUGAAUACAUUAGCAUGGAAUAAUAGAAUAGGACUUGGGUUCUAUUUUGUUGGUUUCUAGGACCAAAGUAAUGAUUAAUAGGGAUAGUUGGGGGCAUUAGUAUUUAGUAGCUAGAGGUGAAAUUCUUGGAUUUACGAAAGACUAACUUCUGCGAAAGCAUUUGCCAAGGAUGUUUUCAUUAAUCAAGAACGAAAGUUAGGGGAUCGAAGACGAUCAGAUACCGUCGUAGUCUUAACCAUAAACUAUGCCGACUAGGGAUCAGACGAUGUUAUUUUACUGACUCGUUUGGCACCUUAUGAGAAAUCAAAGUUUUUGGGUUCCGGGGGGAGUAUGGUCGCAAGGCUGAAACUUAAAGGAAUUGACGGAAGGGCACCACCAGGAGUGGAGCCUGCGGCUUAAUUUGACUCAACACGGGGAAACUCACCAGGUCCAGACAUAGUAAGGAUUGACAGAUUGAGAGCUCUUUCUUGAUUCUUUGGGUGGUGGUGCAUGGCCGUUCUUAGUUGGUGGAGUGAUUUGUCUGCUUAAUUGCGUUAACGAACGAGACCUUAACCUGCUAAAUAGUUAUGCCAACUUUUGUUGGUAGUCAACUUCUUAAAGGGACUGUCGGCGAUUAGCCGACGGAA